rnacentral:sRNA from 12 species
CCCUGACAGACGCCUUUUGCGUCUGACAUAACCCACGACAGGAGAUAAUCAUG